rnacentral:rRNA from 1 species
GACGUAGGGUCCAAGCGUUGUCCGGAUUUACUGGGCGUAAAGAGCGCGUAGGCGGCUCGUUAAGUGUGAAGUGAAAUCUCCAGGGCUCAACCCGGAAACUGCUUCGCAUACUGACGAGCUGGAGGAAUGGAGAGGUGAGUGGAAUUCCUGGUGUAGCGGUGAAAUGCGUUGAUAUCAGGAGGAACACCCAUGGCGAAGGCAGCUCACUGGCCAUUAUCUGACGCUGAGGCGCGAAAGCGUGGGUAGCAAACAGG